GAAUCUUAAACAAUUUAUAUUAAGUGUUUAAAGCUUCAGUCUUAUAUAAACUUACCUGGGAGCAAGACCACGGACAUGAUGCAACUUACUGCUGAGUAAACACACACAUCACUGUCCUCUUCCCUAUAUGUUCCCUAUAUAUCGUUAAAUGCGUACUUUGGAAUAACUUUACAAAUGCUGUUAUCCAUGUUAGCUGAUUUUAGUCUAAUACAGAUGGUUGGCAUCUGUAAUAAAUCUAUUAUUAUUUUUAGUGUGCUGCUUAGUUUACUGCAGUGAUAUAAUUAUAACUGAUUCACAGAAAAUAUUAUUUUCCAAACAGAUAUAGGGAAUGUUUAUGCACACAUACCACACGAACAUAUAAAUCCAGUGUUGGAGGAAAUUGGUUUACUGCCACUGCUGAAUAUUAAUUUUUCUUAAAUGAUAUAUCCCACUUAUUAGACCCAAUACCAGCUUAUUUGUCAUCACAAUCCUCCUCUCUCUGUUCUCCCCCUUUCUGGUAUGUUAUCAGUAAUGCCUUUUCAGCGGCAUGUCUAAAUAAUUGUCAAAAUGGGAGCAUUCCCUUGUUUUGAUGACUUACAAAACGCAUAUACAAAAACCCUUGCACUUUGAAAUGGUUGAAUCCUUUCAUGAAAGUUAAUAGAAGAUAAAGGAGUGUAUCCAAGUAGUGUUUGUCCAAGGAAUUUGAUCCAAGGUGUCUGACUGUCUCUAAUGGAGGAUGACAAGGAAGGUUUUAAGAAGUCAUCUCAUACAUUGUCUUCAGACACAAAAACCUUCCGCCUGCAUCUUUCAACUUGCUGCACCUCUUUCUGAAGGAGCCAUGAGUAAACUGCUGAAUUUUUAUUAAUCAGCUUACCCUAAUGAGAUGAAAAGACCUUUUCAAAAGAGUGAGGAAAGAGCUGCAUACAGAAACAGGGGUGGGUUUUUGUUUUUUGGGGGGAUGUUUUUACAUAAACAACUUAUAGGAGCUAUGAUAGUGGUUGAGGAAGAAACGAGAUUCAGUUCUGAUUUUGGCUUCUUGGUCUGUUCUUUUCUUGUCUUCUUCACCUAGUUUUAGACUUCCUGCCUUCAUAUCUAAUGAGAUCUUUGAAAAUACAAAGAAGAUUUAACAAGUGUGUGUAUUUUGUGUGCUGUGAGGAAAGGGGAAGCAGCGGGGAGAAAAAUACCUUUUGGGAACUGAGGCAAGAAAACCUAAGCUGAUAAAACAUGACUCUUCCCACCCCCCACCUCCCUCCCCAACAGGGAGUUGUUUGGAUAACUUGCCCUUUUCUAAAUUCUUCCUUUCUCUUUCUGCACCCCCUUCCCCUUUUUUCUCUCUUGUCAAGCCUACUUCAUAAACGGUAGCAGCUGGAGAUCUUUUUAGUGGCAUUCAGGGAUUACUGCCCUUCAGGAUUUUAAUAAGCCCUGAUGCUUGAAAUGCCUGUAAGGGUGCUCUCUGAGACAAUUACCAUUCAGGACUAGGAAUUGAGGGCCCUUCAGCGGCCCAGAUGGGUGAGGUUCUGCACAUGGGCAGAUAGUGUUCUAUGAACAACAGAUCACUGGAGCAAAGAAGGGGAGGGGAAAUAAGAGAGGAAAGAAAGAAAGGAAUGGGAUGGUGUGUGUGUAUGUAUGUGUGCACCAUACAGCUAAUCAAAGAUGAAUUUGUUAAUUCUUUUAUAGGUAACUAGAUUUAAAACUCACAACUCUCUAGAAGGAUGAUAAAUUCAGUUAGUUGUUUAUGCAGUUCACAGUAUGAGUUUGGGAUGUUUUUAUUUUUUAUUUUACAUUUGCAGUUCUCAUUAAUGGGAUGCCUAGUUGAGUUUUCAUCUCUUGCAAGAGAGAAAUAAUCUCCAGGGGCUCACAAUAAAAGUGAUAUUCUUCAUGCUACAACUGGAUAACUGCUUUGUGGCCUACUCAGAGUUCAUGGAGUAGGUACUGAUUAUCCUUUCACAUAAGGAAAAAAGGGAGGAUUUUAAAAACCCGUUGUUUUUAGUAUAGGGUACUUCAAGAAGAUGUUUGUUUCUUUGCUAAAGUUAACUAAGUUAGAACUCUGUGCAGUCUCUUUAGUCAGCGUCCUGUUAGCACACACAAGUAUCCUUUUAGACGGGAUGAGAACAUUUGAAAGCUAGCCUAGUAGUUUUGAUCAUUAUCUUAUUGCAGUAGCGACUCCUGAGAGCCACUCAUUUUGGCUGCACAGUGCUUCAUUAUAAAAUAUAGAGAGUAACUAUUAACAGAACAUUUGUUCUCCAUCUGGAGGGACAUAUACUACAUUUUUAAUCGAUGAACUUUCUCUUGCCAGAAGAAUCAUUUUAUGCUACUGUUAAUUAAGGUUAAUAUUUGACAUGUUUAGCUGAGAAAGAGUAAUUUCUUUUGGCUCUUAUGAUAUAUCCAUUAUCCUUUUUAAGUAAAAAGUGAUUGGAAGUAGUGAAUAAGUCUGACUGUAGAGUGAGGAUCCAUAAAUAGAAGGACAUUGGCUUGUUAAGCUUAUGUGUUGUUUACCAGAUCCAAAUAGACUUUCCCAAAUUCCCUUCCACUUCACUGGAAUAUUUGCCCUUCUUUGCAAAUGUACCAAUAAGUAAUGCUUCUUUGUAAUCCUUAACUUUAAGCAUGCCUAAGUAAUGCUGUAUGCGUCUAGAAUCUACUUCACAUUACAUCAGAAACAUAUGAGGCUAAAUUAAGUGUCUAUCCAGGAUAAACAGAAACUGCUUACUCCUGUGUAAAUGCUUCCAACAGGUGCACAAACCCUUUUUGUUCACCUGCAGUUCUAUUGUUACUUUUUUCACGUAGCAAUUUUUAACUUUUGAUUUUAAGCUGAAAAAGACUUACUCCCAAGCAAGUUUGUAUAGUAUUGCUUCUUUUAUACUUGAGAACUCCAGAUAGUAAGGGGUGCAUAAAUGAAAAUAAUAAUGGGUUCAGAAUUGUAAAUAUGUUGAAACUAUUGUUUAGGAAUUGAUACAUUUAGCUAUAACUAGUUUUCUUGUUUUACUACUUGCAAUAUAAUUUAGGAAGCUCAGUAAUCAUGUCACUCCUUUUGCAUUUGGUUAUGGUUCCCGCAGAGUAACCCCUGAGCCUUCAUUUGUCUCUAAAUGUGCCUUUAUUUGACCUUAACUCAGUGGCUAAGAAAACAUUUGUUACAUAGACAAUAAUACAGCAAGACAGUUGGUUCAACUACAGAUAAUGUUUCAUUAGACUCUUUCAAACUGACAGGCGUGGUUGUUUGAAUGUUGUCUUAUGAAACAGAGACUACCCAGCUUUGCUUUUCUCCAUUCUUUUCUGCAGGUUGUUUUCCCAUAUUCAUUGUAUCUCACCAAAUUUAUAUAAUAAUUAGCUAAUCAAGCUGUAUGAAGUUAUCAAAUAUGCAAGGUCCAAGCUUGAUGUGCUACCUCUUGCUACAAUCUGGCAUGAAAUGAAAAUUUGACAUGUCUAAAUUUUGCUUUGAAUUUGUAUAUAAGUAUUGCAUAUUCUGCAUCCAGACUUCAUGUCAUAUUUGUUAUUUUCUUUUUGAUGAAACCUCCUAUUUUGUUCUCAGCUGUAAAUUAUUAUACAAUCAUUGACAAUAGUAAUUUAAAAUAGGUUACAUGUAUGCAACACCCCCCCCCAAAAAAAAAUCAGCCCUGGGACAGUCUUUAAUAUAGAACAGAACAAGUGAAACAAUGAUGCAACAUUUACAGCAUUGAGGCUACAAUCCUGUAUCCACAUAACUGGAAGUAAGCUACAUUGAACUCUGCAGAACUUAUUUCUGAGCAGACAUUUAUCGGACUGCACUAUUAACGCAAAUUUUGUACGGGACACAUGUUUCCGACAAUCUUUUUCUCUUAUUUUCAGCAGUUUCCUCAAGAUGAUUAUUAUAUUUCUGGAGCUGACUUGUAGCAAGUUUAGAAUUCAAUUUGGGGAUUACUAAGGGCGCAGAGGUCCACAAAUGUUGGCAUGUGUAUGGUGGUUUUCUUUGGCUAGGCAUCAUUUGUGGCUGCCACUGAUUCUUCCUGGCAUAUGCUGGCACGCUGCAGAUGACUAUUAAGAGAGAGGCUCUCUCAAUUUUGUAGUGCAUGAAAGUAAGCAACUGUGGGAUUGAUUCCCACUGUCUGGGAUUUCUGCUGUUUGUUUGUUUGUUUUGCUUUUUCAUAAACUGCAAUGGAAACCAGACCUUAUGGGUUAGGAAUCUGUGUUGCUGGGUGUCCUUGCUGGACAGAAGGCUGGGGGCAAAUGCCCCCAGACAGCUGAUAAGUGAAUUUUGUUCAUGCCUACCCAGCUAAGGCUCAAACUACUUGGGACAAUAUCAGACCUAUUUCUUUAUACCGGUACAUGUCUAAUUUUAUAUAAAGCCCAAAUGCUUAUUUUGAUGCAAAACUCCAACCUCAACUCCUUGUUUUGUAUGAAAAUGGGUUUUGAAUAAAAGUAUCUACCAACUAGAGAUGUAAAACAUCUGAAAAUUUAGAAGAAAUGGAAAUAUAAGUGCAUUUCUUCUUGGAUGUAGUGGUUGUAAAGACAACAGAUAUGGGGGUGUGGGAUCAAAAUAUAUUCAACACUUGGGCUGCAAUUCUCUACAUACAAACUUCUAAGUGUAAAUUCCAUUGACCACAAUAGUGUGAACUUAUCAAUAGACAUAUUUUGAAUUGCGUUGUUACUUUCUUACUAAUUCUAGUCUUGGUUUACUACUUUGUGAGCAAAAAUGUGCAUGUAUGGUGCACAUAAAUUGUGCAAUUUUAUUAUUUGUUUUUAAUGUAAAAGUAUAAACAGUCUUUUUUUCUUUACUUACACAAUAAAUAGAAAUAUAUGCAGCGAUGUAGCUCAAAGUUGCUACAUCCUAUGAUACCCAACUCGUUGACAUCCGUCUGUCUUGAGAGACAAUGGAGUGUGCCUAGGGGUGAAGUCAAACAACACCUCUCUAGGGCACAAACCAGAAAACCAUAUAUGGAGGUCCUGGGCUGUCCAGACAACAAGGCCCCCAUCUUAGCCCUGUGGAUAUGGUCCAAAGGGAAGCAGAGCAAUAUGUUUGGCACCAGCUUGGCUGAAGGAGUUGCAGGAAGGAUGCAUACUGGGUGCCAUCCAACUGUCUUAGGAACUCUGCUUCAGAUUUGUGUAGGCUUUACUUCUUAGCCUUUUCUUCUCCCAGAGAUAUCCUGCAAGACAGCAGAUGUUUAGAAUCAGAAUUUUCCUUCUAGAUGUGCUACCUUUAAUUACGGGAGAAUCUGAGGCAAGUGACAAGAUGAGAGGGAUCAUCUUGUACAAUGAUGGUAGCCUUCCAAGUUUCCGCCAUGCUGCAGGCGCUCCUCCUAAUAACUGGAGAUGUUUUGUAUUAUGGAGUUCCCCUUCUCCCAGACCAUACCCUAAGUGUGUUACUUGUUUAGUAAUACAUUCAAACACCAUAGUAAUGUCAAUCUCCCCCAAAAAAACACAUUGGAGAAAACUGACUGUAACAAUAUUAUUUUAAAUAUAUUUCAUAAGUGAUUUUUUUUUAUUUUUUACAUUUCAUGUCUUUGUAAAGUUCUUACCGCUGCUUUCUCAUUUUUAAAGUUUUCUUUAGACCUUUCCCUCUCCUUCCACAUCAUGUCUUGUUGGUCUCUAUUUUCAUCAAGCAUUUUUCUUAUUUAUAACACGUCACCAGUUGGUUGUCUUCCUUUUUGCCCUACUAUCCCUAACAAGUAUCAGCAAUAAAACUCCCCCCCCUUUUCUUGUCAGUCUUUGAAUUGACUUGCAUUUUUCUUUGACCUCUCAGUUUCUAAAACUGUUAAUUGCAAUGAUCUAAAACCGAUAUGAUGUCUCAUUUUAUUCUGAAGAGAAAUGAGUACUUUCUCUCUCUGUAACAUUUAGGAUAUCUGAGAAUAACUCUGGAAAGUGGGGUGAUAUACGCUCAUUCUUGGCAAACAAGAAAUCUUCCCUUAUUUAAAAAUAGGUUUAAAGAGUAUUUAUUAUUUUCCUUCCAUCAGAGUUUAUUGGAUUGUUGUUAUUCUGCAUUUCCCCCCCAUUUCUGUACUGGUGAAUUGAGUUUGAGCUGUGAUUUGCUUGACAGUAUAUACCACUGCCAGAUGCUAGAAGCUUUAAUGUAGUCUGGAAGCUGUGCUACAGUAUUUGUCAUUCUAGAUGCUUUGAGCUGAAAGGACUUUCUAUAACCUGAUUAGAUUCAAACUUCCCAGACUUGCCACCUCUACCAAUGCCUUCUGUAGUCUGCUAUUUAUUAAUUGAAGUUCCUUUUUAAAAUUUAUCUUGAUGGUUUAACUGCUGCCGUUUCAUUUUAAGGGGACGUAAAGUAGUUUUAAUUAGAUAGUUAUUUUAUCAUUUGUUGUUUUCGUUGUAUUUUAUGACAUUUUGUACACUGCCUUGAAGAGGCAAUUGUGCCCUAAAAGGUGUUAAUAAAUAUAGUGACUUCUUGUUUCAUAUAAACUCUUUAAGUUUAUAGAGGAGCACGGGAGGAGACAUUACACUGUUUCGUUAAAAACCAACAACCAAACCACACAGUGUAAUAAUGAAAUUUAUACUUUCAUUUAUUUAACAAGAUUUAUAUAUUGCUUAAUUGUAAGAAAACUUUCAAGUGGUUUAGUUGCUUGAAGAGACUGCUAAUAACGUUGACUAGGCAGAACAACAAGUAGAGGGGGCGGGGGGGGGGAGCCAUGGUGGGGGGUGGAUAGAAGAGGAACGACAAGACCAGAUGUCAGUCCUCUCUUAUUGCACACAUACAAUUGAAGUAGUUCUUUUAAAAUCUCAGUAUUAAAGAGCAAUUGCUUUUAUAGUUGUUGCAUCUUCUGUCAAAAAGAUUAAAAAAACAAUAACCACAAAACAACUGCCAGUUGAUUAAUUUUUUUUAAAAAAAAAUUAAACUAAUGUAUGUUUAGGAAAUACAGUGCUAAUGAAGAUUUCACAGUUUUAGUAAACUUUUGUUCAAGAAUCUUAAAUAUUACUCUUAAUUUCUUCAGCAGCUCUGCCUCAGGUAAUGCCUGUUCAGUUUAAAAGAAGAAAAUUAACCUUGGGCAAUGCUUUUCUUUCAUGUUUCCCUUUCAGUUGCCCUUUUGCUAUGUCAGAAUAAAUGUGGAUUAGUGGAAAGCACUGUGAAUCAGAUUUCACUUAUAUUUCAUUUACUUAUUUGUUUAGUUAUUGGCUAAACUGCAGUAAAAAAUAUUUUAAAGCACCUACACGUCAUUUCCUCAAAACCUGCCACGAUUCCCUCAUGCUUCUGGGUUUGUCAGAUUAUUAGCCUGUGAUGGAGGAGAUAAAGCAUUUCCUUGUAUUGAAUUUGAGCACGCUCUGUGCUUUGGGCCGAAUUAAAUAUUAAAGGCUGUUUGCGAUCUUACAGACAAGCAGGGCAGGCAGACUUUGGCACGCACAUGGAGAAUGAAGGGGGAAAAAAAUCCCAAGAAAGAAAGGUGAAGAUAUUGGUGGACCCUCAGAUCUGGGUGACUCCUUAGUAUUCUUUGGAAACACUUGCCUCCUAAUGGAAAUACUUGUCUGAAAAUGAAAUUGACAGUGCAAUCCUGUACAUGCCUGCCCAGAAGUAAGUUUUGUUGAGUUCAAUGGGGCUUACUCCUAAGGAAGUGUAUAUAGGAUUGCAGCCUAACACAACAGAAUAAUUAAAUUGCCUUAAAAGCAUGUGUGCCACUUAUUGUUUAGUUUUGGGUAAGUCUAGUGUUUGGAGUUUUUUGUGGAGUUAGUAGGGUCCAUAUAAACAAUUUACUUAUGUGACUCUGGGUCAACAGCAAAUAACGUGGGAUCUCUGUGUUUUUAAUUUUUAAAAGAGGCUGUAGGAUCUUCUGAUUUGAAUCAGGGUCCUAGUUCAAUAGUGAGGGAUGGUAUAACACAGGGAUCAGCAAACUUUUUCAGCAGGGGGCCAGUCCACUGUCCCUCAGACCUUGUGGGGAGCCAGACUAUAUUUUGAAGAAAAAAAUGAAUGAAUUCCUAUGCCCCACAAAUAACCCGGAGAUGCAUUUUAAAUAAAAGGACACAUUCUACGCAUGUAAAAACACGCUGAUUCCCAGACCAUCUGCGGGCGGGAUUGAGAAGGUGAUUGGGCCACAUGCGGCCCCUGGGCCUUGGUUUGCCUACCCAUGGUAACACAUCAUGGUUAUGGCCCUGAUCCAGAUUAGCCUUCUGGAGCUGCUGUUGGCCAUGGAAGGACAAACUCGGAUACUUCAACAGCCCUAGGAAGAGGCUGUUGCUGUUUGUGAGUCCUCCUGUUGUCUGAACUGCCAUCAGUGGUGUAGGAAGAGGGGUGCGGUGGGUGCAGGCUGCCCCGGGUGUCAUCACUGAGGGGGUGACAAAAUGGCAAAAAUAUGUGUUUUUAAAAUAAGAAAUUCCCAUCGUGAAAAGAAGGUUUUAAGUGCUUAUGCUCACAAUGUUAAGUAAAUAAACCAGAGAACAACACUUUCAACUGUAAGUAUCUUAUUUUUCCUUCUUUUAAUAAUUUCAAUGUGUGUGUGUUACAAGAAAUUUUCCGCACCGGGUACCACCUGACCUUGCUACGCCACUGACUGCCAUCAGAAUUAUAAACAUCCCUAACUCAUGAAGCUGUGUGUUGGCUUUUAAAAUGCUUUUCAACUGUGUAGCAGUUUGUUUUAUCACCACACCAGCCUUUGGGUCACCAGUGUCUGUGGCAAGAAUAGUUUUUGCCCCACCUCAACCAUGUCCUGUGUUGGUCUUUUUAUUUCAAUCAGCUUGCAUGGAAGGAAGGCUAGCAUUGGCCCCAUAAGCAAGAGGAAGAGCACACUGUCAAAGAAGUCUAGUGUGAUGGACCUAUAUGCUAAGAAGGCAUUUAGGAAUAUGUUGCUAAAGUGGACAUGUGUAACUUUACAGUGGAGUUUUUAUCCUUUGCAGGCCUUUCUGCAUACAGUCACCUUGUUCAUGGGCUUUCUUACUAACUCCUUUCAUCCCAUGGGUGGCUGGCUUUACAAAUUUGGUCUUAUCUGUCAUUCUCUCUAUGUGGAGUUUAGUGGAAAUGCAUUUAUAUUACUUAAUUAGAAACUUUGCCUUUACUGAACCCUCUCACUAUGUGGCUGUCUAUUACCUAAGGCUUAAAAACCAUGAUAAUUACUACGUCUAUAAAAUGCCUCUCAUUACAACACAUAAAAAUGUGUUGGAUUAAAGGGACUGCUAAGAGGGGGAUUGUUUGCUGUAUUUCACUCAGCAUAAAAUAAAAGGUAGAUAAAAAAAUUAAGCAUUGUACUAAGUAGAAUUGUUUGCAUACAAGAAGGACCACCUCAAUUUUUCUGUAUUUGAAAGGAUAUUGAUAAAGGUCAGUGGAUCGCUCUGUAGUGGAAGGGCAUUUGUGCAUAUGCCAAAUCCAUAUGUGCAGUCGGCCAGUUUCUUGUCUGUUUUGCAACAGAAAUGUCCUUUAUGUUGUUUCUCAAAGACUUCAUGAAACACGAUUGUAUUGGGAAAUUAAGUAUAACUGGCUUUGCUAGAUUGAGGCAAUAUUCUUGGUCAGAGUAUAUUAGUGCAGAUAAUUCUGGGAUACAUGUGAAGCAUGUGAAAUGGCCUUGAAGAAACACUAUAAUGGGUUAAGCAAGCCCUAGCAUGUAC